CAAAGGAGUUGGGGGGCCGCAAAGGAGCGAGGGGCUGCGCAAGGAGCCGGCGGCCGUGCCGAGUGAGCAGCUGCCUCCCGCAGGAAUGCCGGGCGGGCGGUGCGGCGGCACUCGGGACCAGCGGCGGCGGGAGGGAGGGAGCCGCGCUGCGAGGAGGAGCUGCCGCCGCCUCAUCCUGCGGCACCGGCCGGCGAGGCGAGGAGCCCGGCAGCGCAGCUGGAAGGCUUCUGGUCUGGGCUGCUGCGGCGUGGGGUCAGCGCAGGGGCGCGGGUGCCGGGGAUGCGCCGCGCUGGGAUGAGUUCGUGUCCCCCCGCAUAAAGGCGUCGCGGGGAGCAUUGGGGCACCUGCUUCCAGGGGUGGGGUGAGCCAUUUGUACCUGGGAGAAGGGAGAGUGCAUGUGCAUGCCAAAACUAGCGUUCCCCCAAAGCUUGUUCUACGAAACUUCGGUGAAACCCCCUGUUCGGAACACCUGAAAGCUUCGCUUUUGUUUUUUUUUUCCCAGGAAGGUUUGGGUUUUCUCUUUCAUCACGUUUUCGGGAAAGGAUUGACGUGCGGGCUCUGGGUACUGUGGGUUUGAGUCUUAAUUCGAUGUAAAUGAUUAGGUCGGCAGAAUCUGUGGAGCAUCGCUUAAAGUGCGGGAAGCUUGGAAUAAAUCGAGCCGUUUUCAUGGAAUAAAAAGUUCAGGAUCGCUUUCAGGUGGCAGUGUAGAAGCCAAGAAUAAAAAUUGGCAGAAAUUCUAUUCUGUGUGCAAGAAAAUGAAGAGUGUACUCAUGACUAAGCACGGGAACCUGGAGAACCACAGGAUUCCUGGGAAGCCAUGGAGGAUGGAGUAAAUUUGGAGCUGGAGCUUGAGGAUUUCUUAGAACUGAUGAGUGGGCAGUUAUCCUGGCCGAAGUGGACAUGUUCUGAAAAUCCUUCAUAGGAGUGAACAGCAUUUCCCACUGUAUUCUCAUAAAACUAAACAAAGCAAGUAAUAUUUGGUUUGCAUGAUGCAUUUGAUCAAAAUGUUAAAAACAUGAUUUUAAUUAAAAUUUAAUAAAUCUAUUACAACUUUCAUUUAAGAAAAAAAGAAAAUGAAAUUGUCUCCUUUUUCACUUAUAAUUUAUGAUCCCCAGCAGAAGGAUUCUGUCUGGAAAUCCUCUCACAAAUUGUGCGUAACAGCUGAUAAAGUACAAAGUAGUAUUGUAUACAGCGAUAGGGCACUUUCUAUGCUGCUGGUUAUAACAGUCUUAACUUUGAGGCUCUCUGGGGACAAAAUUACCAUUUCUUUUUUUUAUUUCUGCUAAUCCUUUAGUGGUCAUAGCUAAAUCAUAGGAAACACUACGUAAAAAUUUUCACCCUUUUUUUUGUUUUUAGUAAAAAAAAGCCUAAGUAAAUUUUAUGGAAUUAUUAUUCAUAAAUGUGUCUGCUGGGCAAAGUACCAAAAUAACAAAAUAUAACUUCCUGUUAUCUUUUUUGUAGAUGUUACCAUAAAAGUAAUUAUAUCACUUUAUUUCCUUUUGUUUUCCAAAUCUAGACUCUUGUUUUAUUUUCUGUACACAUUAAGACCCCACAAUUAUGUAAAGUUUAUUUUUUUAAUCAGGAACGUAUAAUCUCUAGUGUGUAGCACCAGCUGGCUCAUAGUUGUAGAGGAAUUGCAUGUGUACAGGUAGGUAAUGCAUCCAUAAAUUAGAACAUGCUCUAGAAUCAUAGAAUCACCAGUUUGGAAGAGACCUCUUGGGUUAUGGAGUCCAGCCAUUCCUAUCUGCCACUAAGCCAUGUCCCUGAGCACCUUGUCUACCCAUCUUUUAAACACCUCCAGGGAUGAUGACUCCACCACCUCCCUGGGCAGCCUCUGCCAGUGCCACAUGACCCUUUCUGUGAAAAAUUUUUUCCUGAAAUCCAGUCUGAACCUCCCCUGCCACAGCUGGAGGCCAUUCCCCUUGUCCUGUCCCCUGUCACUUGGGAGAAGAGGUCAGCACCCACCUCUCUACAGCCUCCUUUCAAUUAGUUGUAGAGAGCAAUGAGGUCUCCCCUCAGCCUCCUCCAGGCUAAACAACCCCAGUUCCCUCAGCCGCUCCUCGUAAGACUUUAACACAGCAACAUUUGAAACAGUAGGCACAGAAGGGUAAUCUGUAGUCUUUCCUUUCCUUCCUGGAAUAAUCACUCUAUAAAAAUCUUUUUUCACCAUUGUUUUCUUUUGUAGUGUUUUGGGCUAAAACAAAAAAAAAAAAGCUAGCUACCUGAUAUUGACUUAGUGAAUAAUCUUUUAUUUUUGCCAGCACUCACAAAUGUAUUUUAGGCCAUUUGAAUAUGUCUUUGAGAUAUAUCCCAUAUAAAACAUAUGUGCAUGUGUGUAUAUACAGAGAGAAAUAUAUGGGAUGUGUGUGUGUAUAUAUAUAUAUGGGGUGUGUAUACACACAGACAUAUACAUAUGUAUGAUACCUAUCCAUCUUCCUCUGGUUGUUUCUAUUAUUGUGACUGAGACAAAAUGUUUUUUCUUCAAUGCUAAUGUCUUUCUCAGUAGGUAAUAUACAGAUGUAGUUAUUCUGUGUAUCUAAUUUCUCUUGUGGAACUAACCCUACAGAGAGAAUACUAAAGGAAUAUCACUGGGUGAUUCAUAUGAACAAAUAAAGAGCAGGCAUAAAAUUAUGAUAGAAGUCAAUGGCAAAAGCCCUAUUGACUCUAGUAUGAAGAGAAUGUGUGGAGAGGGGUUGCACAGUAACACACUGUCACAUUGAAUAGCUCUUGCCCCUAAAUGUACUUUGUGCUCCUUCACCAUGAUUCACUGACUGUACUCUGCUCUUCAGCUUACGAAAACUAAUUCAAUUAGUAGCCAAAUUCAGAUGAAUCUCAAACCAUACUUGUGCUUUUGUUGGUUAUUAUGCAGCAAGUUAAAAGGCUAUUAAUAAAGUGUUCAAUAAAAAUCGACCUCUGCUAGUUUUAAGUUUUUUGUUGUUGGUUUUUUUUUUAGGAUCUUAUUCUGUUGUGCUUUUACUUUAUUUGACAAAAGAAGACAUUUCAGUUAUAGAUUCCACAGUAAAGUGACUGUCAACGCUCUUCUUGAUUAAUAACCCAGAUUUAAGAAACUUAAUGGCAUUACAUGAUGAAGACUAGUGAAAUAAUAUAAAGGAAUCUAGGGGCGUUUGACUUGGACUCACUGCACUCCCAAUGCAUGUUCUUCUACAAAUUACUACAUAGGAGUCACGCUAGUAUGGCUGCUUACGUGUAUAGUGUUGACAAAUUUAUGCGCAUGACUAAGAUCAACCCUCUGUAGCAUAGUCAUCAAAUCCUUCGGUGUGUACUUUGACUUCUGUGAACUACGUGACUGCUUUGAUGUCAAAAUUAAAGCAUAUAUCUUGGGCCUUGCAGAAUUGGUGCUGUGUUUGUGAACCUGAAGUCCAACUGGUCAAGCAUAGAAAGUAUAGCUGGUGUUCCACAUGACUUCAGUUAAA